ACUCUAAUAGUUUAUUCAAAACACUG
rnacentral:tRNA from 2 species